rnacentral:rRNA from 1 species
AUUGAACGCUGGCGGCAGGCCUAACACAUGCAAGUCGAGCGGAGCGGCGGACGGGUGAGUAAUACCUAGGAAUCUGCCUGGUAGUGGGGGAUAAAGUUCGGAAUCGGACGCUAAUACCGCAUACUAUCAGAUGAGCCUAGGUCGGAUUAGCGAGGUGGGGAGGUAAUGGCUCACCAAGGCUACGAUCAGUAACUGGUCUGAGAGGAUGAUCAGUCACACUGGAACUGAGAUACGGUCCGGACUCGUACGGGAGGCAGCAGUGGGGAAUAUUGGACAAGGGGCGAAAGCCUGAUCCAGCCAUGCGGCGUGAGUGAAGAAGGUCUUCGGAUUGUAAAGCACUUUAAGUAGGGAGGCGUUACCGACAGAAUAAGCAACGGCUAACUCUGAGCCAGCAGCCGCGGUAAUUC